rnacentral:lncRNA from 1 species
GGGAUAGCAAUGACCAUUGUAAAGCUAGGGAUUUAAUCUCAAGUACAUGCUAUUAGGGAAAAAAAUGCCAAUAAUGAAGGCCUUAUUAAUAAGAAUGAUAAAAUCAAUGCUAAAAUUGCAACAAACUUUGGUGCAAAACCCCCAACCCAUGUGAUCCACAGUGGAGAUAUGAGAUAUCAAAUGAAUCUGAAAGAUAGAACAGGAUAAGUAACAAAGGGAUGGUGGGAAAACAAAUUUCAACUUUAGAAGCUACAAGAAACACUCGUAGAUUUUCGUAUGUGUUCAUUUCCAAUGUUACUUGCUCUAUUUUCCCAUCAUUAAAUUCAACAUAUUCACCUCAGUUACAUUUAUCUUAGCAUACAGAUUUCAUUGGUUGCUCAACAUUCUGCUCCAUAAAGAGAAUAUGAUUAUCUAGAUGUUUUUUUUUUUUCCUCAUUUAAUAUUUUGAGUGGAACAGAUGCACAGAACCCCAAAAGAACUACUUCAUGAAUCACCAGCAGUAAAGAUGGCACUCCAUGUCCACAGUCAAAGAAAUUUUAAAUUUCUCAUAUUCCAAACGUAUCCUCAUAAUUCAAGCUUCUAGCUUUGCAAUUCUUUAUGGUCUAGGGAUCAUCAGCCAACACCACAAUUAUGUGAAAAUUAUUUCUUUGAUAACUUUAUUUAAAGUUCUUUAAAACAGAACAUAAUUUCUUGAGAGCAAGGUUACUCAUGCAAUUUCUUUAGCAGUUCAAAUAAAAAACGAAAAUCAUUUGAUUUAGAAAACAUGUUUGCAUUGCCAUGUCGCAGUUUUUUUAUUAUAUAACUUACAAAGAUAAAAAUAACAGAAGGAGGCUGAUCAAUGAAUUCCAUUUUAUUUGUUCAUACAAAUAUGAAGUUCAAAAUGCCAAUAUCACUAUCCUACCAAAACCUUUUCUUCUACUUUUGAAAUCAGAUUCAACAUUCAGCACAUUACAAUGAUAAUACAAUCCAACAGAAGCCUCUUUUCUUUUCCUGUUUUGUUGAUAGGCAAAUGAAAAGAUUAAAUUAAGAAAGGCCUAACAAAAGAAAGAAUCCAACAUGAGCUCUGGGUUGAAAUUAGGAAUCUUGAGCCACAAUGCCAUUAAACUACUGCCAAUGGCAUGAAACCAGCCCAGGAAAGUGGAAAUACCAGUUAGAAAUCAAAAUAACAUCAGCGACCCAAUAUAAAGGUUUUAGUUAUAAUGACCAAAAGGGAAAAAGAAAAAGAAAAUACCCCAGUGGACUUGUAAAAAGGAAGCAAUGUAGAGAAAUAAGUGAAGCAACCUGAGUGUGGCCGCGAAGCAAAGCUCUCAAUGCAGUAUUGAUAUUAAGAACCCUUAUGUUUCCAAGCUUGAGGCCGUAGCAUAUAUAGGUCCUGUUAACAGCAAUCUGACGACCCACGACAAGACCAGGAUCGGAGACAUACUUGGUGAUGGGAGUGACUUCCAGCUGGGGCUGAACCUCGCCUUGCAAUCUAACAUCAACAUCGUAAACAACACGGUCGCCAAUGAGAUGGCGGCCCUUGGGGAAUUUAUUGCUGAGCAAUCGCAAGGGAGGGGGCUGAGGGGUGACCAAAUUGGGAGUGGUGGUGGGCAUGGAAAAUUCAGGAGGGGCUGUGGCAGGAAAGGGCAUGGGAGGAUUGGAGGGUGUGGUAAGAAGAGCCAUCAAUCGGGCACCCGAAUUAGGGCUAGGGGAAGGGAGGUGGGGUUGUUGCUGUGAAGUUUGAUACGAGAUGGGUAGGGGUUGGGGCUGGGGCUGGUAAGGGAGGUAGUGGGUGUGAAAUGGUAAAGGCCCAGUGGGAGGAGGGUAAGAAGAAGAUGAAGAUGAAGGUGAAGGCGUGGCAUAGGGUUGGAGGUUUGGGCUUGGGGAUGAAGGCGAGGGUUGGAUUAUAGUAGCAGGACCCGGAUUGGAGGAGGGUUUGAAGAGCUUGUGCAAAUCCGAGGGUCCUCCCGCUUGAUUCGCCAUCCGAUCGAUUGGAUUCAAAGCCUUCCCAGUGGAGAAAACGUACAAAUAUAAAUAUACAUACGCAUAUAUCUCACUUGAGAUCUAUCCUCCUGGAUUCCACUCUUCACUCUCCUUUUCUUCUGUAUGAUCACUAACAAUUUGCAAACAAUAUUUUAUUCAACUCCAAAUGUUCAGAUACAAAGACGGCUACAGAGAUAAGUCCCAAAACGCAGCUGGAGGUGAGAGAGUCAGAGAGAGAAAAAUAGAAGGAAUAUAUAUACACACCCAAGUUCCAACAUCUAUAGAAUAAUACUAGUAAUAAUGGCUUCAUCUUCUUCUCUUUUCUGUUCACGUCACUCACUGGCUUCCUACACCACCCCAAAAUUGGGCUCAUCGUCCUAUUCUAUUAACCAAUUGAAUUACAAUUUACAGUUCUAAGGGCCUCUACUGUUGGCAUUGGGUGCCCAUUUCCUUUUUCUUUAAUUUAUCAUUUAUCCCUCAUUUCCCCUUUUAGAUGUCCAAGCUUUGUAGACCACCUAAUGUUAGGGUUGUCUAGGUCUCUCUCUUUUGUUCCAUGGUUUAAAUCCUUAGACUAAGUAAGGGUACUGGGUGCAUGAUCAAGGUUAUUGUUAAUGACGUCCGACAUUCCUUUUCAUAAAGAUGGGAAUUGAGGUUUUCAAAUAAUGCAUGAUUAGGGCUUGAGGUGUGGCGUGUGGGUCCAGAUAUGGUCUUGUUUUGUUCUCCUACAUAUCAACUCCUAACUUGUUGCUCAAGUAGUUGCCGUGGUGAUUCACCUUCUGCUGCUUCCUAUUUGGAAUCAUACAACAAAGUCCAAUAAACAUUAUCCCCUGCCGGCAGGGGAUGCGAUAACUACGCAAAUUGAAAGGACUCUUAAGAUGUAACAACACCACUCAUAAACUUAGGAAUGAUUCACCCAAAUCACAACUUUUACAGUAAGCCUAAGGUUUUUCAUGGAUUCCCAAAUGAAAUGUUGUGAUACCUAAUGUUAUAAAAUAUUUAAAUGCUAAACAUGAUAAUAAAAUCAAAUGAAAUGGUAUAAUGUUGAAUUUAAUAAAACAUUUUACGAUCGAAUGGUGUGAUGUUUUGGACACCGAUUAAGUUUUGGAUGAAAGGGUUUAGGUGGUGUUUGUUUCUAAAAUUCACUUUAAUUAUGUUGGUUGAAAUCAACAUAUUACUUCAUUCUGAAUAUAAAAAAUUACAAUAUUUGACUUUUUCCAUUUAGUCAAAAAACAAACACCACCUUAAAUUAUAAAAAAAAAAGACCAAUCCAAUUGCGUUCCAAAGAAUUCGAGCUACAUCUCCAUAUGGAGCUUUGGGAUCAUACUACCCCAGACCAGGCUACAAACGACAGCCAUCAGAGAUGGGUGCAUGGAAGCCUAGGCAGAUAUUAGAUUGCAAGUCUCUGAUAGUAUCCCACCCUAUGUUAGCUAGUUACGCUGCUAAUAUGCUCACUGACAUUCUUGAUUCAUCCAAGCAAAUGACGGGUCCAGAGCAGCAAGCUAGUUAAGCUGCAAGCAUGCUCACUGACAUUCUUGAUUCAUCCAAGCAAAUGAAGGUUCCGGAGCAGAAAUGGACAUAUCAUUUGCCAUAGCUAAAACAAAGUGAGAAGAAGAACAGGCAAGCCUUCU